rnacentral:rRNA from 1 species
CUACGGGAGGCUCCAGGCGAAAAAACUUUGCAAUGUGCGAAAGCACGACAAGGUUAAUCCGAGUGGUUUGUGCUAAACGAACCUUUUGACAGUCCUAGAAACACUGUUGAAUAAGGGGUGGGCAAGUUCUGGUGUCAGCCGCCGCGGUAAAACCAGCACCUCAAGUGGUCAGGAUGAUUAUUGGGCCUAAAGCAUCCGUAGCCGGCUCUGUAAGUUUUCGGUUAAAUCUGUACGCUCAACGUACAGGCUGCCGGGAAUACUGCAGAGCUAGGGAGUGGGAGAGGUAGACGGUACUCGGUAGGAAGGGGUAAAAUCCUUUGAUCUAUUGAUGACCACCUGUGGCGAAGGCGGUCUACCAGAACACGUCCGACGGUGAGGGAUGAAAGCUGGGGGAGCAAACCGGAUUAGAUACCCGUGUAGUC